rnacentral:misc_RNA from 1 species
UUUCUCUCUCUAUCUCUCAUAUUCUACCAUUCUAUAAAGUCUUAACUAAUCUACAUCAAACCAGUUGGGGAGAGAUAUAGAUACCUUUCAGAGGAUAGGAUCCAAAGGCUCCCAAAAUGAGGAAACCAGAGGCCUCUGGGAAGAACAACAACAAUAAUAACAAGCUUAGAAAGGGCUUGUGGUCACCAGAGGAAGAUGACAAGCUCAUGAAUUACAUGCUAAAUAAUGGACAAGGUUGUUGGAGUGAUGUGGCAAGAAAUGCUGGGUUGCAGAGGUGUGGCAAGAGUUGCCGUCUUCGCUGGAUCAAUUAUUUGAGGCCUGACCUUAAGAGAGGCGCAUUUUCACCCCAGGAAGAAGAACUGAUCAUCCAUUUGCAUUCUCUUCUUGGCAACAGGUGGUCUCAGAUUGCGGCUCGCUUGCCUGGACGUACAGACAAUGAGAUAAAGAAUUUUUGGAAUUCAACAAUAAAGAAAAGACUAAAGAAUCUGUCGUCUUCAGCCUCACCAAACACGAGUAAUUCUUCCUCAGAGCCAAGCAAAGAAGUAGCAGCAGCCUUAGGAGAAGGGUUCAUCUCCAUGCAGGAACAAAGCAUGAGUCCCAUGUACAUAUACCCAUCAUUAUCAUCUUCAUCUUCAUCAAACACGUCCAUGCAAGCUAUGUUUCUGAAUCAAAUAAUGGACCCAUUGCCUACCUUCGAUCAUGGCCUAAGCACGUGCGGUGCAAGUGUAUACUUCAAUAAUGAUGCACCCCCAUGCAUGACUCAUAUAGGAGUUAGCGGUGAUGAUAUAUAUGGAAAUCAAGGGAUCCUUGGAGGUGUUAACAUUGGAAUUGAAGGAGAGCUUCAUAUUCCUCCUCUAGAGAGUAUAAGCAUAGAGGAAAACGCUAAAACUGAAGAUAUGUAUGGUAGCAACAACAAUAAGUACCCAUAUAGCAAUGUGAAUAGAAUUAACAGCAACUGCAAUAACAAUACUAAGGCUGAGAAUAUGACUACUGGGGUUGGGAACUUAUGGCAAGGAGAAGAGCUAAAAGUGGGGGAUUGGGACUUGGAAGAGUUGAUGAAAGAUGUGUCCUCCUUUCCUUUUCUUGAUAUUUUUCAAGCUGAGUAAAUGGUUUUCCUCAAAAAAUUUCUUCAAUUUUCGAAUUGAUACCCUUUUCCCUUUUUGUAGAAACCUCC